CACAUGGAUGGUGGUGUGGCCACGCGUUUUCAGCCGAGCUAGCAUGGAAACCUUCCCCACCGUUCAGUUUUGCUUCCACUGGCUACCGAACUCAUGCACACACGUACGGCGCAUGAGCUGAGCUUCGGUGUUUCCGCCUCCAUGCGCCAUGCGCCCUGCGCCCUGCCGGAAAUCGAUGCGCACGUCUCCAGUCCAGUCGCUGAGCGCCCCAUCCCCGACCUCCUCCUCUCACGGCCGGGAUCGUCCUCCGUCAGCCGGUCGCCGGCCGCCCUGCAACACCUGCACCAGCCGCCGGAUUCGACCCUCGCCGUUUCUGGAAUCCGGACCUGGUAGGUACGGUUGCUCUGGACAAGUCUCUCCGUGCUUAGUACUGGUAUGGUUUGUCUGUCUGCUACGAAUCGAUAACUCUGCCCGUUCUAGUCCUACCACGGAUUGAUCUACCAAGGCAGAGCCUUCUUCCCUCUGCACUAACCCUGGCCUCGUUCCCAAGAGCAUUCAAUGACGAGUUUUCGGACGACCUCGGCUUAGCGGCAAUCAGGGUAGUGCCUUGUGCAAUAUAUAUAUAGUACCCUUGUGAUGUGUCUCUGUCCCUUGUCCAAGACACCUUUUCUUCUGCCCCUAAUCUUGAUUGUUUGCUACUGAAUUUGUUUUAUCAUUUGUUGGUCGAUCUGUCCAGUGUGCUUGUAAUAACAAAAAUCUGAAAAUUAUAUUGUCCUGCAA